rnacentral:misc_RNA from 1 species
AAGUCGUAACAAGGUUUCCGUAGGUGAACCUGCGGAAGGAUCAUUAACGAGAGUGGGACCCUGCGUCCCCCGGGGCUUCGGCCCCGACUCUUCACCCCGUGCGUAUCUACCAUUGUUGCUUCGGCGGGCCGUCGUUCGCGCCGCGAUGCCCGGGGUCAUCCCCUGGGUACCGCGCGAGCCCGCCGGAGGCCCUUUUAAACCUGUCAUCAGUGUCGUCUGAGGAGAAAUUCAAUAACUAAAACUUUCAACAACGGAUCUCUUGGUUCUG